rnacentral:tRNA from 1 species
GCCUCAAUAGCUUAGUGGUAGAGCGCUUGAUAUGAUUGCUUCUUGUCAGCCGUCAUAUAUUAUCAACAGGCCAGGGUUCGAAUCCCUGUUGAGGCU